rnacentral:sRNA from 1 species
AGCUGAUGCACUUGGCGGCUUCCUCCCAGUUCCGCCGCAGCAGCUGUUCCCCUCUGGAGGUUUUUAACCUUCAAACUUUAUGGGCCGCGGUUUUUCCGUUGGCCCUUUUUU